rnacentral:misc_RNA from 1 species
AACGCAUAUUGCGCUCUUUGGUAUUCCGAAGAGCAUGCUUGUUUGAGUAUCAGUAAACACCUCAAAGCCUUCAAUUCAGUUUGAAAGCUUUGGACUUGAGCAAUCCCAACAUCAGUCUCGCGACUGACGGAGGGCUGCUUGAAAUGCAGGUGCAGCUGGACAUUCUCCUGAGCUAUAAGCAUAUUUAUUUAGUCCCGUCAAACGGAUUAUUACUUUUGCUGCAGCUAACAUAAAGGGAGUCUGACCGUAUUGGCUGACUGAUGCAGGAUUUCACAAGGGCUGGCAACAACUUCUUGUAAAACUCGAUCUCAAAUCAAGUAAGACUACCCGCUGAACUUAA